UACGUAGGGUCCAAGCGUUAAUCGGAAUUACUGGGCGUAAAGCGUGCGCAGGCGGUUUUGUAAGCCAGAUGUGAAAUCCCCGGGCUUAACCUGGGAAUGGCAUUUGGGACUGCAAGGCUAGAGUACGGCAGAGGGGACUAGAAUUCCUGGUGUAGCAGUGAAAUGCGUAGAUAUCAGGAGGAAUACCGAUGGCGAAGGCAGGUCCCUGGGUCGAUACUGACGCUCAUGCACGAAAGCGUGGGGAGCAAACAGG
rnacentral:rRNA from 1 species